AUGGCAGACAGAGAGUACCAUAUAACUGGAAUUAACCGAUGCAACUCCAAGACGGAUUGGCCGGUGCUGCCGGCUGGCGUCAAGUUCGAUCCCAUGGAUCAGGAGCUGAUCGAGCACCUUGAGGCCAAAACCCAUCCUGAGAAACUUCCAGGUAUCACACUGAGUGGCCUAAGCAAGCAUUUCUUCCAGCGCAAUUCCAGGGCAUUCAAAAAGGGCACGUGGACGCGUCGCAAUAUACAGUCGGAGUGUGGCAUGCACGCGAUGUGGCACAAGACCGACAAUACCUUGCCGGUGAUGGUCAACGGCCGGCAGACGGGCAUCAAAAAGGUUCUGGUGCUGCACACCAACAAGAACUUCGACUAG
rnacentral:rRNA from 1 species